rnacentral:rRNA from 1 species
GACGAACGCUGGCGGCGUGCCUAAUACAUGCCAGUAGAACGCACAGUUUAUACCGUAGCUUGCUACACCAUAGACUGUGAGUUGCGAACGGGUGAGUAACGCGUAGGUAACCUGCCUGGUAGCGGGGGAUAACUAUUGGAAACGAUAGCUAAUACCGCAUAAUAUUGAUUAUUGCAUGAUAAUUGAUUGAAAGAUGCUAUUGCAUCACUACCAGAUGGACCUGCGUUGUAUUAGCUAGUAGGUGAGGUAACGGCUCACCUAGGCGACGAUACAUAGCCGACCUGAGAGGGUGAUCGGCCACACUUGGACUGAGACACGGCCCAGACUCCUACGGGAGGCAGCAGUAGGGAAUCUUCGGCAAUGGACGAAAGUCUUACCGGGCAACGCCGCGUGAGUGAAGGAGGUUUUCGGAUCGUAAAGCUCUGUUUUAAGAGAAGAACGGGUGUGAGAGUGAAAAGUUCACACUGUGACGGUAUCUUACCAGAAAGGGACGGCUAACUACGUG